rnacentral:lncRNA from 1 species
UGCCCACUAGGGUCAAGUAUGAGGCCCCAUCUUGGCAAUGGAUUUUAGAGACCACAGACAAGCAAGGGUCUGUGGAGAAGUCUUUCCAUCUGUAGUUUCCAAGGAGUCCUGAGACUUGGAAUCCACUGCUGUGUUUGAAGGGUUUGCGCUGGGUUGAGGAGGAGAGUUUACCUGGACUAUGCUUGUACGGAGGUGUAUGGCAACAACAUAAUAUCGAGACAAAAGCAGAGCCAGAAUUGCUAACCACAGGCCAAGAAAACCAAUGACAUAUCUAGGGGAAACUGGAAAUAUUUACUCCCAAGUAUUAACAGUGAUUACCAUGAAGUGUUGUAAUUAGGAGCAGCUUUAAAUUUUUUUUUUUUUUUUUUUUUUUACUUUUUUUUUUGGAGACAGAGUCUCGCCCUGUCACCCAGGCUGGAGUGCAAUGGCGUGAUCUCGGCCCACUGCAACCUCUGCCUCCCGGGUUCAAAUGAUCCUCUUGCCUCAGCCUCCCGACUAGCUGGGAUUACAGGCACGUGCCACCACGCCAGCUAUUUUUUAUGUGUUUUUAGUAGAGACGGGGUUUCACCAUGUUGGGCAGGCUGGUCUGGAACUCCUGAGCUUGUGAUCCAUCCGCCUCAGCCUCCCAAAGUGCUGGGAUUACAGAUGUGAGCCACCACGCCCGGCCACUUAAUUUUUUUUUUUUAAUGAACAUGUGUAGCUUUUGUGAUCAGAGGAAGAUAAAACAGCUAUGUUUUAUCAAUACCUCUAUGCUUAUUAAAUACCUCAAU